CUGCCCUCACGGGUAGAAACCCCACCCUUGUGUAUAUUAUAUUGUUGCUUUAGCAGGUCGCCCUCUGGGCGUCGGCCUCGGCUGACUGUGCCUGCUAGAGGACCCUAAAUUUUGAAAUACAGUGUCGUCUGAGUACUAUUUAAUAGUUAAAACUUUCAACAACGGAUCUCUUGGUUCUGGCAUCGAUGAAGAACGCAGCGAAAUGCGAUAAGUAAUGUGAAUUGCAGAAUUCAGUGAAUCAUCGAAUCUUUGAACGCACAUUGCGCCCCUUGGUAUUCCGGGGGGCAUGCCUGUUCGAGCGUCAUUUAGACCAACUCCCGCUCCGGCGGGGUCUUGGGCUGCGCCUUUGGGCGGGCCUUAAAACCAGUGGCGGUGCCCUAAGGCUCUACGCGUAGUAAUUCUUCUCGCGAUAGGGUCCUUGCGGUGUCUUGCCAGCAACCCCCAACUCUCUAGGGUUGACCUCGGAUCAGGUAGGGAUA
rnacentral:rRNA from 1 species